UUCAGGUGGACAGGUCACAGAACCUAGACUUUGGUCAUGCUGGACUACUUUGUCAACCACAAAUAGGUGACCCCAGUCCAGAGUGAUCUGAGCUGGAACAGGGAAUGUACGGGAACAUGUGACAGCUCUGAGGAGGCUCCAGAUCCAUGCAGGUGCAUCAGGGAAGUCUUCCUGGAGGAGAUAACAUUCUGGCUGAGGAGAUUGAAGAAAGUUCUGGAAGGCGGAACCUGGAGUGAUGUAUUCACUUCUGUGACCCAGGACCAAGAUCUAUGCUGGGCAGGAGAUGCCCUGGAGAAUGAGCCAACCCUCGCUGGGCCCUCUCAACGCUGUUCUCGAAGGCCGCAGGGAAGGGGUGAGGGGCAGGCCGGUGUGCAGACACCUCCCCACCCCUCCCCUGCCCCUUCCCCAGCCUUCCUGGCACCCGGCAUGGCUUUGCCCUCCUCCUGUCCACGCCACCCGCCGCUGGAGGUGGGGAGAGACUCCGGGGGCCGCGGCCCCUUCCUGCGCAGGCUGAGGGCCUCCAAGGCCGCAAAGGGCGCCACUCGGGCCCAGAGAUGCAUAUGCGCCAGGACACCCGCUGGAGCCUGGUGGCCCCUGGUGGCCCCGAGCAGAGCUGCCCGCUGCCCUCAGGAAAACGGAUCAAUAAAUAAUGAAGUGCGUGCAGCCUUCAGAAAGAACAGACCACUUCACAGGCAGUGACGUGGAAAGAGGUUGUAGAGUGGAAAAAAGAAAAAGCAAAGCUAUUCCGUGGUGACGAGGAUAUAGCGAAGACGAAGUGUACUAUGAACUCCAAGCAAAUCAAACUAGCCAGUGGAUGGAGGGGCUGUCCUGUGUUUGGAAACACACUGAGCAAAAGACAGGCUUCGCCAGCUGGACUCACCCAUACUAUUUCUCCCUCCCUCUUCCUCUUACCAUCCCACCCCCCUGUGUUAGCUCCGCGUACCUGGUGACGUGUAAAUUAAAUGCCUGUAUGUUAUGAUUCUA